GGGGACCUGGCCAUACACUUGGUUGAUAAACCAGGUUUCCACUUGCAGAGCAGAAUCUUUCAUCUCUGGCAGAAUGCAGCCACCAUGUACCCUGUUCCUCUGUGUUUCACUUUAAAGUCACUGCUGAAAUAGUUCCUACACUUGCUUUUGGGGAAUUUGUGACAUCACGUAAGAAUCGUUUUCGAGAGAUGCGGAGACCCACCUAACACAGGUGACCGUUUUUCCUGUACUGGUUCUCUUAUCCCUG
rnacentral:lncRNA from 1 species